GCAGUCGAGCGAACAGAUAAGGAGCUUGCUCCUUUGACGUUAGCGGCGGACGGGUGAGUAACACGUGGGUAACCUACCUAUAAGACUGGGAUAACUUCGGGAAACCGGAGCUAAUACCGGAUAACAUUUGGAACCGCAUGGUUCUAAAGUGAAAGAUGGUUUUGCUAUCACUUAUAGAUGGACCCGCGCCGUAUUAGCUAGUUGGUAAGGUAACGGCUUACCAAGGCGACGAUACGUAGCCGACCUGAGAGGGUGAUCGGCCACACUGGAACUGAGACACGGUCCAGACUCCUACGGGAGGCAGCAGUAGGGAAUCUUCCGCAAUGGGCGAAAGCCUGACGGAGCAACGCCGCGUGAGUGAUGAAGGGUUUCGGCUCGUAAAACUCUGUUAUUAGGGAAGAACAAAUGUGUAAGUAACUGUGCACGUCUUGACGGUACCUAAUCAGAAAGCCACGGCUAACUACGUGCCAGCAGCCGCGGUAAUACGUAGGUGGCAAGCGUUAUCCGGAAUUAUUGGGCGUAAAGCGCGCGUAGGCGGUUUCUUAAGUCUGAUGUGAAAGCCCACGGCUCAACCGUGGAGGGUCAUUGGAAACUGGGAAACUUGAGUGCAGAAGAGGAAAGUGGAAUUCCAUGUGUAGCGGUGAAAUGCGCAGAGAUAUGGAGGAACACCAGUGGCGAAGGCGACUUUCUGGUCUGUAACUGACGCUGAUGUGCGAAAGCGUGGGGAUCAAACAGGAUUAGAUACCCUGGUAGUCCACGCCGUAAACGAUGAGUGCUAAGUGUUAGGGGGUUUCCGCCCCUUAGUGCUGCAGCUAACGCAUUAAGCACUCCGCCUGGGGAGUACGACCGCAAGGUUGAAACUCAAAGGAAUUGACGGGGACCCGCACAAGCGGUGGAGCAUGUGGUUUAAUUCGAAGCAACGCGAAGAACCUUACCAAAUCUUGACAUCCUUUGAAAACUCUAGAGAUAGAGCUUUCCCCUUCGGGGGACAAAGUGACAGGUGGUGCAUGGUUGUCGUCAGCUCGUGUCGUGAGAUGUUGGGUUAAGUCCCGCAACGAGCGCAACCCUUAAGCUUAGUUGCCAUCAUUAAGUUGGGCACUCUAGGUUGACUGCCGGUGACAAACCGGAGGAAGGUGGGGAUGACGUCAAAUCAUCAUGCCCCUUAUGAUUUGGGCUACACACGUGCUACAAUGGACAAUACAAAGGGCAGCUAAACCGCGAGGUCAUGCAAAUCCCAUAAAGUUGUUCUCAGUUCGGAUUGUAGUCUGCAACUCGACUACAUGAAGCUGGAAUCGCUAGUAAUCGUAGAUCAGCAUGCUACGGUGAAUACGUUCCCGGGUCUUGUACACACCGCCCGUCACACCACGAGAGUUUGUAACACCCGAAGCCGGUGGAGUAACCAUUUAUGGAGCUAG
rnacentral:rRNA from 1 species